AUUUUUCUAGUAUUAAUUAGUACAAGUGACUUCCAAUCACUAAGUUUUGGUCUAAUCCAAAGAAAAGUA
rnacentral:tRNA from 1 species